UACGGGGGGUGCAAGCGUUGCUCGGAAUCACUGGGCGUAAAGCGUCCGCAGGCGGCUUGGUAAGUCGGGUGUGAAAUCCCGGGGCUCAACCCCGGAACUGCCUUUGAUACUGGUAGUCUCGAGUCCGGAAGAGGUGAGUGGAAUUCCGAGUGUAGAGGUGAAAUUCGUAGAUAUUCGGAGGAACACCAGUGGCGAAGGCGGCUCACUGGUCCGGUACUGACGCUGAGGUGCGAAAGCGUGGGGAGCAAACAGG
rnacentral:rRNA from 1 species